rnacentral:rRNA from 1 species
CCUACGGGAGGCAGCAGUAGGGAAUCUUCCACAAUGGGCGCAAGCCUGAUGGAGCAACACCGCGUGAGUGAAGAAGGGUUUCGGCUCGUAAAGCUCUGUUGUUGCAGAAGAACGUGCGUGAGAGUAACUGUUCACGCAGUGACGGUAUCCAACCAGCAAGUCACGGCUAACUACGUGCCAGCAGCCGCGGUAAUACGUAGGGGGCAAGCGUUAACCGGAUUUAUUGGGCGUAAAGCGAGCGCAGGCGGUUGCUUAGGUCUGAUGUGAAAGUCUUCGGCUUAACCGAAGAAGUGCAUCGGAAACCGGGCGACUUGAGUGCAGAAGAGGACAGUGGAACUCGAGGUGUAGCGGUGGAAUGCGUAGAUAUAUGGAAGAACACCAGUUGCGAAGGCAGCUGGCUGGUCUGCUACUGACGCUGAGGCUCGAAAGCAUGGGUAGCGAACAGGAUUAGAUACCCGUGUAGUC